GGAGAUGCUACUGGCUUAACGCCACAAAUGAGUCAGUGUAAUUUAUCAAGUUAUUGAGUUCAUUCCUGUUUAUGUUAGGUCCAACUGAAGUGCCAGAUUUUUUAAAUCCACCCUUACUCUUUCAUUACAACACUUAUCACUGCACUUGCUGUUAACAGAUCAUCUCUUUGUUGGUGACAGUUUUUUUUGCAGGUAAGGACCUCUGAUUGUAAAUGAUUGAAAAAUAAGUUUUCCACAUUGCUUUACAGUUCAGUCAGUACUGUGUGUUGUCAGUAACAAUGAGUUUUGGACGACAGUUAUCAGAGGGCAUUCAAUAAACUUAUUGUACAAACACAAGGACACCAACAGUGAAACUUUCUACUCUCAAGUCUCGCCUUAAAAUUACGUUUUGGGAAUUUAAAAGGUCAGUCAUGCACACUGUUUACAUAGGUUUUCUAAGUAAUCGAUAAGAUCUCAACAGUGAUUCUGAAAGGCACCGAAAGUGUCUGUGAAAUCCACACAGAGACACUUAAAUUGAGCAGACAUGAUGAGAGUGGUUGGAGAAUGAACCUUUCAGGCGGCUUUUUUUUUUUUUUUUUCAUUUUUGAAUCGGCGGUAAGUGUGAAGUGGAGUUUUGAGUGACAAGGAAGUUAAAAGCAUUUUAGAAAAGGUAAAGAGAUGAGGGCUGAGAUAGAAGUGCUUGAUUUUUUUAUAUCAUUUGAGCUGCAGGAGGUGCACCCACACAAUCUUCUUUUUGGUUUAACUGGAUGGCAGAAAUAUCAAACGGUUUUGUUGAAACAGCAUACUGAGAUAAGAGAAUUUUAAUGAUUCUUGGCAGGGUUGGUGGGCUUGAAGACGUGUAUUUUCACUGAGCAUGCUGCACGGGCCUGAAAUUGAUUAAUAAAAGUGCAAAUUUUCAAAUGUUGGUCAACAGCUGGCUGUCUACCUUUGGAGUUAUGCCAAGAAAACACAAGGUUCCUGUGCUCUAAUGGAGGGAUAAGCGCAACAUUUACUCUCUCCUGCUGAGUUAAACAUUCCCCAACACUAAAGCAUAGUGUUGGAAAGGCAGUGAGAGCCUAUGUUUCACUGCAGUUAUUUGGUGGGCUCCUCCCUUAGACCCAUAACACAUUGAGAAGGCUUAUCAGUUAGCUCUGGUGUCCCAGAGUGAGCCAAGUCCCAUCACCAAUCAUAUCAACAAGCAGAGUCAAACAUCUCAUACAACAUUGCCACAUUCAUCUCUAAGCUCCAGGUAGCUCCAACCCAAAUACUUCCUGUCCUACCACAUGGUCCCCAAAGCCAGACAAACACUGAGCAAACCAGGUCUAGUUCUGGCCCAGAUUUCAUAAGAUAAGUCUCGAAGUUGGCUGAAUUCAGCCCAAUUGUCCUUUACUUGUUAUGCAGUACAGGUCAGAGGACACAAGCAGGGUUUCAUACCUUUUUAUCCACCAGCUACUGUGACUAGUGGUUUUCCAGAGUAACAAGCUGCUCAGCAUUCACACCAGCCACAAUUUUGUUCUCGGGAAAUUAAAUUUUGUAUGAUAGAAGUUGAUUGAUGAUGUGAUAUGAUAUCAUUGGAUCAGUUUUAUCAGCCUUUUAUAAGUAAAUUACAACCGUACACAUCCACAUCAAGACUGCAUCAAAUAAGGUCCUCUUGAGGGGUCGUUCUUUGACUCCUGUACCUUUUUCAAUUUCAUCAUCAGCUUUUCCCCAGAGGGUUGUCUGCUCCCCAGUUUUUGUGACUGCUGCCAUAAAGCUUCAAAGAAUAUUAAAAAAUAUAAAAUAAACUAUCCUCCCUUCACAAUGUAAUACUUUCCAUCUACUCCUUCAUUAGGUAGGUAUUUAUGAGUGCUUUCCUCUCUCUCAACUUAAAAGUAGAAAAUUAAACUAUUUUUUUCACCUUCCUUUCUUUCAGCUUUAUUAAUAUGUAAUAAAUAUUUCACUUGGUGUUACAUGUGAUCAGUGAGUUAAUGACGUCCCUUUUCUGACUGUGCAGAAUAAAAUCGUUAGAAAGGGUGUAACCCUCUGUAGGUGAUCAGACACACAAAGCAGGAUAUGAUGUAAUGCUAUGGAUGUGAAAAGAAGGGGGUGAUGAAUAUACUGAUGCAGCAUACACAGGUUGUGUUGAACAAGUGCCGCAGGUCACCAGUCUCCAAGCACAUAUCAGCAGAGUUCACAAAUGGAUCAUUGAGCAGUUGUUUAUGGGAGUUGGAGUGUCUUUAUUUCUUUAAUCAUUAUUGUUUUCUGUUAUUUUUAGGAGCCUUUAAAGGAGACGACAAGAACACAAGUUAACCUCCCAAAGUGGCAAGAAAAGUGCUUGUGUCACCCGCCACUACUGAAAUCCACCUACUUUGGUGGGUUGGUGAGUGUCAUGGUCUGACAUGGGUCCUCACAGAUGAAGACCACCUUGGUCUGUACAAAAUUAGAAAAAAAAUGUACGGCAAUGUUUAGUUGCGCUGUUUUUUUUUUUUUCUCAGUCCCAUCAAUAACAGUAGGAGGAUUUGACGGGAAAGCCUCAGGGAGAAAUUCUUGGUCUUAAGAUUACCCUGAGUGCCUCAUAGUCACUUUCUGGACAGAAAAUCUCCAAAUAAGCUUCUAAAAAGCAUUCAAACUUUGAGACACAGGAUGAUCCUUACAGUUAUAGGUAUUGUUUUUUUUACAAAUUCAAAAUGAACACAAAAACUGUAAGAUGGAAAUACUCGAAUCGAUAAAAGUUUUGGACUGGCUUUGAAAAUGGCUGAGUCUUGUUCCAGAAAAGGACUGUAGAAGUUUAGCAUUUCACUUUCUCAUCAGUUAAAAAAAGAGCAGCUAUGACAGCAGCUAUAGGUAGGAAAUGCACCAUUAAGUGAUCAUGCAGGGGAUAGAAGCCAGCUGGAAAGAGCCCCAAGAGUCGAGCUUCGCCUGGCAGUAUCUGUGACGGCACACAUGGGGCCUUUCACUCAUGACAGAUUAUCCCAGUCUGUUUCAACACAUUAAUUUGAGCUGCCAAAAUGAAGUGUGCCAAACUUAUAACACUGGUCCCCUUAAAGUACAACAUGGGAGAUCAAACCAAAGGUAUAAAAUAAGGCACAAAAAAACAUGCCCACACAGGCUUUUCUUUAUAUUUUUAAAUAUCACUCUAUGCCUGUUCCCACUGGGUUUUUCUUUUUCAUUCAUCUGAAUCAUGAAAUUAUGUGCCUGAUGUUCAGCCCACUGAUCAUGCCUGCAAGUUACUAAUGAUGGCUUUCAACGUACCCACUGGGCCAUUUUGCACAUCACAGGACUAGCAUUUAGUUUAGUUUUGAAGAUAAAUGGAGGAAGCAUAGCAGCAAUUUCUCCCUCUGUGACUUUGGCAUGGUGGGUUUUAAUUGACAGAAGUACAUGCAGAAAAUAACUCUGAGGGCAGAAGGUAACCGACGCAAAUGGUACCAUUGGUUUUAAGCCAGUAGAGGACAUUUUCAAAUGUAUUUCAUAAACAUGCUGGCUUCUUUUCAGCCAUGCAGUAAGUGGCUGUGUUAUAUUCAUGCGAGGUAAGAGGUCGGGUCAGUCGAUGUCAUGAAUUAUUCUUGUUUAUUAUUUCUUGUUUGGGUACCUCAGUGGUAAUGUUCUGUUUUGUGUUGUACUUCUUGCUACAUUUGUCAUGGACCUAAAAAAAAAAACUGAAUUGCUGUUAGUUUAGCAGACCCUGCAUUUCCUUCACAACAAAAAAAAAAAACAUUCGAGAGCAACUUUCAGAGACAAACUACAUCAACAAAGCAUGAAAAAGACGAGCAGUAAGGCUAACCUUCCAGCUUCUGGGUGGGUUUGACGCUGACGGAGCGGCCUGGUGGGUUCAUCCUUUAGUACUGUUACAACAGGACGUCAAAAUCUGCGGAUAGAUUGAGUCUAAGUCUUAAUAGUGCUUCGUUCCAGUUACCGCGGAACUCGGAUGCUGGAGCUGAGAAUGACGCUACACCCGAGUUGACGGCGUUCCAGUAAACAAGUCAGAAAAUCAGGGUGAAAUCCCACUGUUAGCUAUUGUUAGCUGUCGUUUACAAUUUUCAGCUGUCGUUGGCCAUUGUCAGUAGUUGUUAGCAGUUGUCAGCUGUUGUUAGUUGUUGUUAGCGAUACCUAUUUUAAACUUCACAUAACACAAUAUUUUACUGUUCACAGGUAGACGUUGGGCUGUACAAGAUAUACCACUUCUUUAAUUUCACAAAAACAAAACAGAAGUGCUUAUAAAUAAUACAUGACAAGAGCUUUCACUGUUACUCUUUACUGUUGAUGCACUGGGCUGCCAUCUUGGAUUAUGAUGUUGUCGUCAAGACGGGGUUGGUGAGGAUCGUCCAACUUUCUGAUUCGGAAAUCCGACUUCAGAGGUGCGUUCCAGGUUAACUUCUGACUCGGAGCUUGGAAAUUCCGACAUCCAAGAACAACUGGAACGCAGCAUUAGUGCUCAGAGAGGUCGUAAAUCAAGGAUGAUGCUGCCAUUCCUGUAUCUCAUGUUUUUGCAUAGGUUAAGAAUGGAUAGCCAAUCUUCAUGUUAUAUAAAUGCAUUUAAACACAGCUCAGCAUAAUUUGUUUCCUUUAAAAACACUUUAAAGACUUUGUCUUUAGGUCCAGUUGGAUAUUUGUCUGAAGUCAUUAGAUCUUUCCCCUUGUGUCUGCUGAUACCAGUUUAGCUGUGGUGAUAAUUAGAUAUCGUCAUAUGUCUUUCAUGUCAGGUUUCUGUAGCAUCCCUUCAGUGCAUUAAAGCACUCUUUCUUUCUGUUAGGUGUUAUAAUGAUAAAGUUUCAAACAGUCUAUUUCAUUUCUUUAUGACUUGCAUAACAUAAAAGCGCUCCUUCUGAACUCUUCGUCACAGGUAGAACAUUGAAUGCGAUGUCUGGGUGGAGUUUUUGAUGUUAGCUCUACACAGGAAGCUGUCAGUGUUAAUGAGUGUAUUGAGCAUUCAUCAAAAACUCCUCACUCCUCUCUGAGCUUUUUUAACCAGUAGAGGGUCUUUAACACCCCUGCUGUCUUCUUUUGUUACUCAUGCCUCAGCAGGAACCUGUAACGGGUUCACGACUGCCGGAUUUCUGUGAUUAGCGUCACCUUUUCUAAAAACUGUGAUCUCUAACUUCGUCAUUCAGCCGUAAAAAUGACACUAUCAAUUUGUCAAUUUAGAUAUUCAGACCUAUUAUUAGCACAACACUGAAAUGGAUUUGGGUGUGCCUGAUUUAUCACAGCUCAUUAUAAAAGUUGUGAAAGACAACCUCUGAGAUCACACAGAACUUUUUUGAGCAGAAAAGUAAAGUUGGCUCUGCAGGGAUGCUUUUAAACUAUUAACACGUGCAGUCUGUUCUUUUUGUAGAUCAGUGGACCUAAAACUUCCUCUGUCAUGCUCCCACACUGAGCCCAGACUCUCUACCCCACAGAAAGAAGAAGUCAGAUAAAUUAAAGAUAUAUCCAUCAUGUCCGCGGAAGAAUGUCUGACUUGGACUAAGGAUCAGUCCUCUGGAGUACCUCAGUAGAACAGCAGGGACAACACAGCAGCAUGGUAUUGUGAGAGAGUCCGAACUUUAUCAUCCAACUGAGAGUGGACUCCAGAUAUUACAUAGGUUAAAUGGAUGAUACAAAGAAAUAAUACACAUUUAAAUACUUAUACUACAAUGAAACCAAUAUCUGAUUGAUUGAGUCAUUUUGAACACAAAAAACAUUUGAAAACAGUAAUGACUUUAAUUUUCUGCCAUAAAAAGACAUCAGGGUUCUGACCUUUCAUCAAGUUUAACUCCACUAAAACAAUUGAGGGCAAAAAUGACAAAAAAUAAUGAAAAUCAAAAGGCAUUUUAUUUUUAAAGCCUAAAAUAGCUGCUAAAAUCAACACUGUGACCAGGUCAUGGACAUUCACUUCCUUUGUCAUUAAUCAUUUCAAUUUUGAUAAUGGAAAAAAGCACUUUUUCAUCUCAUCACUGCAAAACAUUGACUGCCUUUUUAAAAAAUGAAAAAAUGACAUCAUAUUUCUACCAAAAACUUUAUAGUUUAAGUUUUAACAAACCUCCAGGUGACAUCAGAUUUCUUCACCAUAUUGUGUUUUUUUUUUAAUUCAAUUUCACCAUUUUGUGACACUGCUUCGUCAGUCUGUGUGCAAUUUAAAAAAUAAAGAAAACUGAAAUUGUGUUUGCAAUCGCUUCACUGAAAGGCGCAACUCAACGUUUAUCAACAGUUUUUGGUCACAUUGACAGAUUGUUACUCUUUUAUUUUCCUUUUCGAAGAGUAAAAAAGCCCCAGAUUUUUACUCACUUUUCCAGAGGGAUUGUGAGGUUUCUUGCACCAAGCUGAAUAGAGCUUUGUUGCCACUGCUUUUACAAAAUGAUGUGCCUGCUGGCAGGAUUUGAUAUAUUUUUGGUGAAAAAAACAAGUGGUUUACAGACAUGACUGAGGUGUAGCUUUCGGGGGUUGUUGUAAUCUGUUGAGUCUCAUACUGCCAACAUUUUCAGACCCAAAAAAACAGACUCGCCUCUCCUCAUUCACUGUGAACCCAAGUACCCACAAACCAAUGUAAUUCAUGAGGAAUUAAGUUCAGUAAAAUCCUGCCACUUCUGAUGUGAUAUAUUAUUUGUUUGAGUCUGUUGAUCAAUUAGAUGCUGUGUCUAUAAUCAGCUGACCUGCAAAAGGGCCAAUCAGAAGCCAGGCUCACCUGUCUCAGUAGAGCAGUGAAGGUUACAAAACUUAAAAGGACUGAAAUUUUGGAUGUUGACACAGAAAACUUGUACAGGGUUACCUUUUUACAACACACAAAAUCCACAGAUAUUAAAAAAUGAAUGACGAAAUAAUGCAUUAAUAAGCAGAAUUGAUCAUGUUUUGUACUUUGACCCUGUAAUUCCAAUCCCUACCCCCAGCCCACCCCUUUGUUGUGUGGGGAGAGCAACACACCUCAAGCUGCACGUAUCUGAGAACAUCUGAACACCCAAAAGCAACUACUUAUUAGCAUGUGCCGGUUCACUAGAAGAAAAUGACUGGUGCUUAAGUUGAAUAUUAAUCAGUAAACAGCUCAGCAGCAGCUUCUAGUAUUUAUAGCUCUUCCUGUCGUCUCUGAAUUUGAAUGAUUUUGAUUUAUUGGCUUGUAUUUCCAUCUGCUCACAGUUUAAGUCUCCUCUGUUUUAUGUGUCGUGUUUCAUUCUUUUGAUUCAUAUUAGACUGACAGGUAAAAUGCAGCAAAGAAAAAUAUCCUUUGAGAUGGAAGAGAUGGCAAAGUAGGACAAGGUGAGCACUGACAGCAAGGACAAACAGGAACCUUAAUGGUUACAAAGUGUCUUUACAGUUCAAAGAAAACUUUCUGAGAGUUUAUAAAAGCAGCAGGUUUUUUUCCCAGGAUGACUUAAGCUCCUUUUUGACUAAGAAACAAAACCAUGGAUCAAAAUGAUUGAGCAUUUUGAUCCUACUCCCUCAUUAGAUGUGUUGCUUUAGAGCUUCAGCAGCAUAAGUAUUUCCUCCCUACAGCGCUGUGUAACUUUAAAUCUGCAAAUGCCAAUACCAACCGUACCAUCCAAUAAUAAUGACACUAAUAUCCUCCAUCCACCUUCUUCCACUUAGCCAUUCAGACUCAUUUAUUCCCUCCUAGAUGAUCAUUUAGCACCUAUUAACUCAAGAUCCUCAUCUGUAAUGACCACUCAAUUAUCAUUUUCACUCCCAUUCUACUUAGGCUCAGCAAGGUUAAGUAACGCCCUGCACCUGUGACAAACCCAGAAUGGGCUAUUGUUGGUAAUUAACACAGCAAUAUAUUCAGCCACGCCUAACGGGUCUCUUUAUUCUCACCUUCAUCCAUCCACUGUCAUUUUCCCCCCACUCACAACCCUGAAAGAGGAGCAUCACCCUCUUUAGUCUGCUGGCCAUGUCAUCCUACACCUAAACGGCA